AGACUCAGGUAACUGCCCACUUCCCAGGUUUGUUUCGGCAGCACCUAUAGGGGUGCAACUGGCGAGUGCAGGGGGGAUGCACUGCUGGGGUUGUGAGUCCAGGCCUUGCCCACAGCAUCAGUGUUCAUGAGCCAUGUCACUUCCCCCACUGACUUUCUCUCAUUCAUCUAGAAAGUGCCAUAUGAGGGUGAUGGCAGUAAAUUCUCAACUCUGAACUGCAGAGGUUGGCCCCUAGAUUGGGAUCAGGAUGGGUCUGAAAAGAAAAAGCUCCAAGAGUAUAAAAGCAGCCAGUCUCCAGGGGCAGUGUGGGCCGCAGAUGAUGGUUUGGAAGCUUGAUGGCUCCCACUGACUGGGACAAUUGGUUGUAAAUAGCUCUGUUCACUUGGUGCAGGCUAGCCCGGGAAGAAUGGAGACAAGGGGGCUCACAGGACAUGUGACAUGUCUGGAAGUUGCAGACACAGGAAGUCAGUGCUGCUCUCAGGACACCAUUAGGAGAAGGCCAUGGGCAGGAGAAGUGCUCAUUGAUCCCCACAGGCUUGGUCUCGAGAGCCUGCACCAUCUGGCUGGAGGGAAGAGAAUCAUACCGGGUCCUGGAGGUGACAGUGGGGGAAGUGGGGUGACUGG